rnacentral:lncRNA from 1 species
UCCACCAUUGGGAUUCAGGGUCUGGAGAACAAGCUCAUGGAAUACAAAACAGUAAGAGUCUGACAUGGUGGCUCAUAUCUGUAAUGACAGCACUUGAGACAAAAGCAGGAGGAUUGCCAUGAAUGCCAGACCAGCCUCAGCUACAAAUUGAAAUCCUGUCUUGGGGGGACAAAGUGGGGGACAAUGUUGAAGACAUGGUCACAAGCAGUAGUUAUUUCUCUUCCUGAAGAUCUGAGUUAGCUUCCAGCAUCUACAUCAGGCAGCUCACUACUGCCUGUAACUCCAGUUCUGUAGGCUCCAACAACUUCUGGUUCUGCACAUAUAUCAACCAAAAUGUGCUCCUUCCAAGCCAGGACCAAUGGAUCAGGUCACAUCGUGAUGGAUGACAAGGAUGUGGCUUAUGGGCUGCAGAUGCGUUUGCUGAAGACAGUAGGCGGAGGGUGGAAAGAGGCACUGAAAUGAGGCGAGUCCCUGCGGAGAGCCCAGCUUGACCAGCCGCACCUGACACCGAGCAGAGCGGCCCCGGAAAUGGUUCCGCACGCUCCUUGCGUCAGAAGGAGACGCUGUGCCUGGGUUGCAUCUGGGCCAUGCAGAAUCCCCAGAUUAGAUCCCGCCCCUGUUCCGCGCACGCGCAGUAAGGACUUAAGCAUCGGGUGGUUUCCGGCUGUAACAGAAAAGACUAAUCUACUCCGGAAAGACCUUUCUCUGGGCCCUGUGCUUGCAGAAAUUUGAGUCUGUUUACAUCGCGUCCUCACACGGGUUUCCAGUUGCAGAAUGGAGCGGUGCCUGACUGGGAAAAAGGAAGCCCUGGGCAAGACUAAGGAGCGGGUUGUAAAGAAGACAGUGCAUUGGGUGAACCUGAGAGAAGAACCCGCUCCUGGAGAUGUCAAAAACAAUUCUUCAAAAUAAAUACCAGUCACACAUAAAUUCGGAAGAGGAGGAACACUUGGUUUUACUAAGAAAAUAUACUUCAAAUACAAAACCCAAAGACAUUAAGGAAUAAAGCAAAAGAACAUUUAGGGGGCUGGAGAAACAAUUCAGUAGUUAAAAGGCACUGGGUGCUCUUGUAGACGACCCAGGUUCAAUCUUCAGCACCCACAUGGCAUCUCAUAACCGUCCAUAUCUCUAAUUUUAGGGACUCAACAUCGUUUGACCUUCUUGAGCAGAGGCAUGUACAUUGUGCCAUCUUACACGCAGAGACUUACAAAAUACCCAUACACAUAAAAUAUUUUAAUUUAAAGCUUUUAGACUAAUAGCUCAUGAAUUUAGAUGCAUUCUUACUAAAAUGUAAACGUGUCUAAAUCAACAAUAUAUAAAAAGGAAUACAACAUAGUUAAGUGUGGCUGAGUCUAGAGUGCAAGGUUGAUUUGACUUUCAAGAAUAAGAGACUGGAGUGAUGGUUCAGCAGUUAAGAGCGGU